rnacentral:rRNA from 1 species
UACGAAGGGUGCAAGCGUUACUCGGAAUUACUGGGCGUAAAGCGUGCGUAGGCGGUUUGUUAAGUCUGCCGUGAAAGCCCCGGGCUCAACCUGGGAAUUGCGGUGGAAACUGGCAGGCUAGAGUACGGUAGAGGAUGGUGGAAUUCCCGGUGUAGCAGUGAAAUGCGUAGAGAUCGGGAGGAACAUCUAUGGCGAAGGCAGCCAUCUGGACCAGUACUGACGCUGAGGCACGAAAGCGUGGGGAGCAAACAGG